rnacentral:rRNA from 1 species
AUUGAACGCUGGCGGCAGGCCUAACACAUGCAAGUCGAGCGGAUGAAGGGAGCUUGCUCCUGGAUUCAGCGGCGGACGGGUGAGUAAUGCCUAGGAAUCUGCCUGGUAGUGGGGGAUAACGUCCGGAAACGGGCGCUACUACCGCAUACGUCCUGAGGGAGAAAGUGGGGGAUCUUCGGACCUCACGCUAUCAGAUGAGCCUAGGUCGGAUUAGCUAGUUGGUGGGGUAAAGGCCUACUAAGGCGACGAUCCGUAACUGGUCUGAGAGGAUGAUCAGUCACACUGGAACUUAGACACGGUCCAGACUCCUACGGGAGGCAGCAGUGGGGAAUAUUGGACAAUGGGCGAAAGCAUUAUCCAGCCAUGCCGCGUGUGUUAAGAAGGUCUUCGGAUUGUAAAGCACUUUAAGUUGGGAGGAAGGGCAGUAAGUUAAUACCUUGCUUUUUUGACGUUACCAACAGAAUAAGCACCGGCUAACUUCGUG